UUUUAUAUAAUGUGCAAAUGAUUAAUAAU
rnacentral:piRNA from 1 species